rnacentral:rRNA from 1 species
AUGAACGCUGGCGGCGUGCCUAAUACAUGCAAGUCGAGCGAACAGACGAGGAGCUUGCUCCUCUGACGUUAGCGGCGGACGGGUGAGUAACACGUGGAUAACCUACCUAUAAGACUGGGAUAACUUCGGGAAACCGGAGCUAAUACCGGAUAAUAUAUUGAACCGCAUGGUUCAAUAGUAAAAGACGGUUUUGCUGUCACUUAUAGAUGGAUCCGCGCCGCAUUAGCUAGUUGGUAAGGUAACGGCUUACCAAGGCAACGAUGCGUAGCCGACCUGAGAGGGGGAUCGGCCACACGGGACCUGAGACACGGUCCAGACCCCUAGGGGAGGCAGCAGUAGGGAAUCUUCCGCAAGGGGCGAAAGCCUGACGGAGCAACGCCGCGGGAGUGAUGAAGGGCUUCGGAUCGUAAAACUCUGUUAUUAGGGAAGAACAAAUGUGUAAGUAACCAUGCACGUCUUGACGGUACCUAAUCAGAAAGCCCCGGCUAACUACGU